AAAGGGGUAGCUAAUUGGAAAGCGCCAGCCUGCCAAGCUGGAGAUGUUGGUUCGAACCCAACCCUCUUUC
rnacentral:tRNA from 1 species